rnacentral:rRNA from 1 species
GUCUUUUUGUUUUAAAUAUAAAGUCUAGCCUGCCCAUUGAUUAAAUUAAAUGGCCGCGGUAUUUUGACUGUGCUAAGGUAGCAUAAUCAUUAGUUUUUUAAUUAAAAACUGGAAUGAAGGGUUGGAUGAAAAAAUAGCUGUCUCUAUUAAAAUAUAAUAAAAUUUUAUUUUUAAGUUAAAAAGCUUAAAUUUUAUUAAAAGACGAGAAGACCCUAUAGAGUUUAAUAAUUAGUUAUAUUUAUUUUUUUAGAAUUUAUUUUAUAAUAAAAAUUAGUUAUUUAAUUGGGGUGAUUAAAAAAUUUAAUAAACUUUUUUUGUAUAAUUAUAUUGAUUUAUAAAUUAUUGAUCCAAUAUUUUUGAUUAAAAGAUAAAAUUACCUUAGGGAUAACAGCGUAAUUUUAUUAGAGAGUUCUUAUCAAUAAUA